rnacentral:rRNA from 1 species
GGCUGCAGAAAUUAUAACUGUACAAAGGUAGCAUAAUAAUUUGUUUUUUAAUUAAAAACUAGAAUGAACGAUUAAAUGAAAUAUAAACUGUUUCAAUUAAAUAUAAAUUUAAAUUUUUAUUUAAGUUAAAAAACUUAAAUAUUUUUAAAAGACGACAAGACCCUAUAGAAUUUUAUUUAUUUUAUUAAUUUAAAUUUAANUAAUUUAUUUAAAUUUUUAAAAAUAAAUUUAAUUGGGGUAAUUUAAAAAUUUAAAAAAUUUUUUCUUUUAAAAACAAUAAUUAAUGAAUAAAAUAUCUUAAAAUUUAAAUUAUUAAAAUUAAUUACCUUAGGGAUAACAGCAUAAUUUUUUUUAAAAGUUCUUAUU